ACGCGAAACCGCCCCGCACAGGGGCGGUCACCGGAUGAUUUCCGGUCUGAUGAGCAGAAGCAA
rnacentral:hammerhead_ribozyme from 1 species